rnacentral:rRNA from 1 species
AACGAACGCUGGCGGCAUGCCUAACACAUGCAAGUCGAACGAGACCUUCGGGUCUAGUGGCGCACGGGUGCGUAACGCGUGGGAACCUGCCCUUAGGUUCGGCAUAACUCCCCGAAAGGGGUGCUAAUACCGGCUAAUGUCCUCGGACCAAAGAUUUAUCGCCUUUGGAUGGGCCCGAGUGGGCUUAGCUGGUUGGUAGGGUAAACGCCUACCAAUGCGUCGAUCCAUAGCUGGUCUGAGAGGAUGAUCAGCGACACUGGGGGUGGGAAACGGCCCAGAAUCCUACGGGAGGCAGCAGUGGGGGAUAUUGGAAUAUGGGGGGAAGCAUGAUCCAGCAAUGACGGGUGAGUGAUGAAGGCCUUAGGGUUGUAAAGCUAUUUUACCCGGGAUGAUAAUGACAGUACCGGGAGAAUAAGCACCGGCUAACUCCGUG